UACAGAGGGGGCAAGCGUUAUUCGGAAUUAUUGGGCGUAAAGGGCGCGUAGGCGGCUUUGCAAGUGACGGGUGAAAUCCCUCGGCUUAACCGAGGAACUGCCUGUCAAACUGCAUGGCUUGAGACCGGGAGAGGUGAGUGGAAUUCCCAGUGUAGCGGUGAAAUGCGUAGAUAUCGGGAGGAACACCAGUGGCGAAGGCGAGUCUCUGGGAUGAUGCUGACGCUGAGGCGCGAAAGCCAGGGGAGCAAACGGG
rnacentral:rRNA from 1 species